UUGCAAAGCACUUUGAAGAGAGAGUUAAAGAGGACGUGAAACCGAUGAGGUGGAAACGGACAGAGCUGGCGUAUCUGGCCUGCAUUCAGCCGCCGUGCGUCGGGCCCCGGUUUGCCGCUCUCCAGAUUGGGAAGGUGGCUGGGGCGCUGGCGUUGCGGUGGUGCAUUUGCAGGUGGAGUGCGCCGAGGCGCUCGGCUCAGCGGCAUGAGCUCGGCUUUGAGGCCAACCGCGCAAGCGGUCUGGUACCCGGGUCGGGGGAGUGCUGUUUGGGCUGGGUGUUCGCCAUGGGUUGUGGUUUCGGGCCCGGGUGGGUGCUGAGCUGGCGGUCGGCGGCGGUCGCAUGCGACACGUGCCAUCAGUCAGUUCGGUCCUGCUCGAGCUCUCAGCWGCCCGGCCUCGGUGUAAAAGCCGGUCAUCUGUCCGACCCGUCUUGAAACACGGACCAAGGAGUUUAGCGUGUGCGCGAGUCAUUGGGCGUUGAAAACCCAAAGGCGCAAUGAAAGUGAAGGUCUGCCUUGUGCAGCUGAUGUGUGAUCCUGGGUGCCGCGGUGCCCGGGCGCAACAUAGUCCCGUCCCGACUGCAUGCAGUGGGGCGGAGACAGAGCGUACGCGCUGAGACCCGAAAGAUGGUGAACUAUUCCUGAGCAGGAUGAAGCCAGAGGAAACUCUGGUGGAAGUCCGAAGCGAUUCUGACGUGCAAAUCGAUCGUCUGACUUGGGUAUAGGGGCGAAAGACUAAUCGAACCAUC
rnacentral:rRNA from 1 species